UACGGAGGGUGCAAGCGUUAUCCGGAUUCACUGGGUUUAAAGGGUGCGUAGGUGGCUAUUUAAGUCAGUGGUGAAAGCCCGCGGCUCAACCGUGGAAUUGCCAUUGAAACUGAGUAGCUUGAGUACAGUUGAAGUGGGCGGAAUACAUCAUGUAGCGGUGAAAUGCUUAGAUAUGAUGUAGAACACCGAUUGCGAAGGCAGCUCACUAAGCUGUAACUGACACUGAGGCACGAAAGCGUGGGGAGCAAACAGG
rnacentral:rRNA from 1 species